GAUGAAGAACGUAGCGAAAUUCGAUAAUUAAUGUGAAUUGCAGAAUUCCGUGAAUCAUCGAGUCUUUGAACGCACAUUGCGCCUCAUGGCAUUCCGUGAGGCAUGCCCAUCUCAGCGUUAGAAAAUAUUCUCAAAUUUUAGUUUUGUGCUAAAAUUUGGAUCAUGUCAAGGAAGCUAUUACUAUUAUUGUGAUCGCUCUUUGGAAAUUGAUAGGUCUUUGAGUUGCUACUCAUAGAACGUGAUGAAUCUUUCUUCGUUCUAUUGUAAUUCACUCUGGUAGUCCUAAAACUUGUAUGCCUGUGGCAUAUCUUGUAAUUUGACCUGAGAUUGGGUAGGGAUACCCGCUGAACUUAAGCAUAUCAAUAAGCGGAGGA
rnacentral:misc_RNA from 1 species